CCUACGGGAGGCAGCAGUGAGGAAUAUUGGUCAAUGGGCGAGAGCCUGAACCAGCCAAGUAGCGUGCAGGACGACGGCCCUAUGGGUUGUAAACUGCUUUUAUAUGGGGAUAAAGUGAGCUACGUGUAGUUUAUUGCAGGUACCAUAUGAAUAAGGACCGGCUAAUUCCGUGCCAGCAGC
rnacentral:rRNA from 1 species